rnacentral:sRNA from 1 species
AUAAACCUGUGAUCAGAAACCUGGAAUCUAGAAAUUUAUUCAGGACUUGCAGAAUUUGUAGCAUGUCUACAUUAUUGGAGAUCUAUUGAAAGGGCAAGAAAAAGAUGAUUGCCUUUUGGAGACUCCCAGCAACUGCGACUGGUCCGGAUCCUGCGGAGUACUGUGAUGGUUCGUGUUGGAGGUGGAUGGAUGGCACUUGAUGAGUUCUUAGUGAAAAAUGAUCCUUGCAGGGCCAAAGGAAGGACAAACAUGGAACUGCGUGAGAAGUUCAUUUUAGCAGACGGUGCCAGCCAGGGUAUGGCUGCUUUCCGACCCCGAGGCCGAAGAUCCCGGCCGUCAUCACGAGGCGCUUCACCCAACAGAUCCACUUCUGUGUCCAGUCAGGCUGCACAGGCGGCCUCCCCACAGGUCCCUGCCACCACCACACCCAAGAUUCUCCAUCCUUUAACACGCAAUUAUGGUAAACCAUGGUUGACAAACAGCAAAAUGUCAACUCCUUGUAAAGCAGCAGAGUGCUCAGACUUUCCCGUGCCAUCUGCAGAGGGAACGCCAAUACAAGGAAGCAAGCUUCGACUUCCAGGAUAUUUAUCAGGGAAAGGCUUCCACUCUGGGGAGGACAGCGGCUUGAUAACAACUGCAGCUGCCAGAGUCCGAACACAGUUUGCUGAUUC